rnacentral:misc_RNA from 1 species
AAGUCGUAACAAGGUCUCCGUUGGUGAACCAGCGGAGGGAUCAUUACCGAGUUAUCAACUCCCAAACCCCUGUGAACAUACCUGAACGUUGCUUCGGCGGGACCGCCCCGGCGCCCUCGGGCGUCCCGGAACCAGGCGCCCGCCGGAGGACCCAAACUCUUGUUUUCAAUUAGCGGAUUGCUCUGAGUCUCAAAACAUAAAUGAAUCAAAACUUUCAACAACGGAUCUCUUGGCUCUG